rnacentral:rRNA from 1 species
GAGAUCAGGGAGUGCUCGAAAGAGAACCAGUACACAGGUGCUGCAUGGCUGUCGUCAGCUCGUGUCGUGAGAUGUUGGGUUNAGUCCCGCAACGAGCGCAACCCUUGUCAUUAGUUGCUACGAAAGGGCACUCUAAUGAGACUGCCGGUGACAAACCGGAGGAAGGUGGGGAUGACGUCAAGUCCUCAUGGCCCUUAUGGGUAGGGCUUCACACGUCAUACAAUGGNACAUACAGAGCGCCGCCAACCCGCGAGGGGGAGCUAAUCGCAGAAAGUGUAUCGUAGUCCGGAUUGUAGUCUGCAACUCGACUGCAUGAAGUUGGAAUCGCUAGUAAUCGCGGAUCAGCAUGUCGCGGUGAAUACGUUCCCGGGUCUUGUACACACCGCCCGUCACACCAUGGGAGCGGGUUUUACCAGAAGUAGGUAGCUUAACCGUAAGGAGGGCGCUUACCACGGUAGGA